rnacentral:misc_RNA from 1 species
CUGAGGUACGCUCGGUGUCGCCUCUGGCGCGCCGGUUGCCCGCCCUUAUGUCAUUUGUGCCGGAGCCGCUCCCUAGGGACGGCGACGGGAACAUCACUUCGGUCGAUGCGUUGCGCCCCCCCUCGCGGUGGGCGCGACCGCGGCCGGCCGUAUCUUUACACUCUUUGUGAGAAGCAUGAAGUCUGAAGCAUUAUGAAAAUAAAGCAA